AUUGAACGCUGGCGGAAGGCCUAAAACAUGCAAGUCGAACGAGUGGCGGACGGGUGAGUAAUGUCUGGGAAACUGCCUGAUGGAGGGGGAUAACUACUGGAAACGGUAGCUAAUACCGCAUACCAUCGGAUGUGCCCAGAUGGGAUUAGCUAGUAGGUGGGGUAACGGCUCACCUAGGCGCAGAUCCCUAGCUGGUCUGAGAGGCUGACCAGCCACACGUGAACUAAGGCACGGUCCAGACUCCUACGGGAGGCAGCAGUGGGGAAUAUUGCACCAGGGGAGCAAGCCUGAUGCAGCCAUGCCGCGUGUAUGAAGAAGGCCUUCGGGUUGUAAAGUACUUUCAGCGGGGAGGCGUUACCCGCAGAAGAAGCACCGGCUAACUCCGUGCCAGCCGCCGCGGUAAUUC
rnacentral:rRNA from 1 species